UGUCCCUUGGCCAUCAGGGCUUCUCUGACCAGGUGUAUCGCCAGCGUCGGAAGCUGAUUGCAGAGAUUGCCUUCCAGUACAAGCACGGUGAACCAAUUCCCCAUGUGGAAUACACAGCGGAAGAGAUUGCUACCUGGAAGGAGGUAUAUGUCACGCUGAAGGGCCUCUAUGCUACCCAUGCCUGCCGGGAGCACCUGGAGGGUUUCCAGCUUCUGGAACGGUACUGUGGCUACCGAGAGGACAGCAUCCCACAGCUG
rnacentral:lncRNA from 1 species